AGGAUGAACGCUGGCGGCGUGCCUAAUACAUGCAAGUCGAGCGGUAAGGCCCCUUCGGGGGUACACGAGCGGCGGACGGCUGAGUAACACGUAGGAACGUACCCCAAAGUGAGGGAUAAGCACCAGAAAUGGUGUCUAAUACCGCAUGUGCUCUUCGGAGGAAAGCUUCGGCGCUUUGGGAACGGCCUGCGCAUGAUUAGCUUGUUGGUGAGGUAAUGGCUCACCAAGGCGACGAUCAUUAGCUGGUCUGAGAGGAUGAUCAGCCAGACUGGGACUGAGAACGGCCCAGACUCCUACGGGAGGCAGCAGUAGGGAAUUUUCCACAAUGGGCGAAAGCCUGAUGGAGCAACGCCGCGUGCAGGAUGAAUGCCUUCGGGUUGUAAACUGCUUUUAUAUGUGACGAAUAUGACGGUAGCAUAUGAAUAAGGAUCGGCUAACUCCGUGCCAGCAGCCGCGGU
rnacentral:rRNA from 1 species